rnacentral:rRNA from 1 species
UACGUAGGGUGCGAGCGUUGUCCGGAAUUAUUGGGCGUAAAGAGCUCGUAGGCGGUUUGUUGCGUCGGCCGUGAAAACCUGCAGCUUAACUGUGGGCCUGCGGCUGAUACGGGCAGACUUGAGUUCGGUAGGGGAGACUGGAAUUCCUGGUGUAGCGGUGAAAUGCGCAGAUAUCAGGAGGAACACCGGUGGCGAAGGCGGGUCUCUGGGCCGAUACUGACGCUGAGGAGCGAAAGCGUGGGGAGCGAACAGG